AUUAAGGGGGGGAAAGCCCACACAGCAGGAGAACAAAUACAUACAAAAGGCAGCUAUAACCUUUUGACACAAAUAAGCACAGAUCAGGUAAAGGCUGGAAGGAGUUUGUUUUGUUAGCAGUGUUGAAGGGGGUGGAAAUAAAAAAGGCACAAGAAUUAUACCAGCUUCCGUAGGCUCUUCAGCAUAUAAAUCUUGACCUUUUCCAUUAGAGGCAGAGAUGUGUGCUCUGAUAUAUGAUCACAGUCCCUCCCCUAGUGGCUGUAAGGCUGGAUAACUGCAGAUGACGAUCACUGCAAAUGCGCGGUAGCAACCUUCAGAAGGGGGCUGAAUCAGCUAGCAGCUUAUCAUUCACCAGGAGGCAAAAAUAACUUGUGCACCUUGUUUAGCCUCUCUCCCUGCUUAGAAGCCCUAGAUGGCCAAGGAAGGUUGCAAGAGCCUUGCUUUGUCUCUGUGCAGGGUGAAAGAAGUUAAAAUAUUCAGCCGCUCAGCAUGCUCCCUUCUAAGAGAAUGGUACCAGAUGCACCUCCAGCCUAACCUACCUCACAGGGCAGUUGUGAGGAUGAGGAGAGCCACGUCUGCCCCUCAAGCUCCUUGGAGGGAAGGUGGAAUAUAAAUGUAAUAAAUAAAGACUAAGAGUUGUCAGCCAAUUAAAUUCUACUCAGCAGGGGUGCUAACUUGAAUGAAAUAUUGGGGGGCCAGGUAAGCCCCACCCCACAUAAUCACACACACCAUUUGAAUGACAAUGCCCAUCAAGUUUGCAGGCGCACAGACCCCUCAAAUAUUUUAUUGCAGGGGCUGAAGCCCCCACGGCCCCUAGAAGUUGGCACCUAUGCUACUCAUUGUAGACCCCUUGAAAUUAACAGGCCCAAGUUACUCAUGUCUAUUCCUUCCAGAGGCUCAACUUUUGACAGGCUUAGGAAAACUUGGCCCUCCAGAUGUGUUUGGACUGCAACUCCCAUGAUCCCUAGCUAACAGGACCAGUGGUCAGGGAUGAUGGGAGUUGUAGUCCCAAAAACAUAUGGAGAGCCGAGUUUGCCUAUGUCUGGCCUAAUGCUUAACCAAACCUUUACAGAUUGGUGGUAGCUUCGGGUUUCAUGGGUUGGAGUCUUCUGCCAUCAAUUUUAAGGUGCUACAGGAGACUCUUUUUUUUGAUAUAAUGUAUUUUGUUGUAACUUAUAACUGGGGUUUAUAUGCAACUUAUAACUAAAGAGGAUGAUGUGUGGAAAGCCUAACUUAUUUUUUUCUUUUACAUGCAAACAGGUUUGGGAGUCGAUAUGUGAGGCACAGUCUGCCAGACUCUCCCAAUAACAUCUUUUCUGGUGUCCAUGUACAGGAAACAUGCUCCACAGAACACGAUCCAUGAGAGUGAGAUUUCCAGUCAACCACCGGCGCAUGCAGCUUGACUAAACAAGCACCAUAUGCCCUGAAAUUUGACAAAUUAGUGCAUAAUUAACAUUAAAUUAUGAAGAAACGGAG